GGAAUUCGAAACCCUAGAAUCCUUUCCGUCCAUAGAAACCCUCGCUUGUUCAGAAUCAUCUGAGGGGUUCCUACUGGAAACCCUAACUUGCGUCUCUUCUACUGAAUCGUUACUUCGAUUUGCUUCGAAUCUGUUGCUCAUCACAGAAAUCAUCUCCUGGAGCUAAAACUCCGUUUCCAUACGACUUCAAAAUGAACCUUCAGGACGAAGAACACCGAUGAAUUCCCCAGGAAAAUGCAGCAAAUUCAC
rnacentral:misc_RNA from 1 species